GAGAAACAAACAGCCAAAGGUCUUGAAGGUCUCGCACGAGUCUUGCAGCAGAUUGAGGAGGGAAUCUGGACGCCACCCACUAUUUCCACUGUAAUGUUUAAGCCAUUUCACAUUCAAAUCCUCUCUUUUGUCUCACUUGCUGCAGGAAAGGCACUGAGUGGUAAACAACUGCUGGGAAUAAAUGAGCUUGUCAUGCUAAGUGUAUUCAUAGAGGGGUGCUGUGCUGUCUCUUUUUUCUUUAUAAAAAACAGCUGGCCCACAGUGGCUGUAGUAUCUAAUUCUAUGAUAAAAGCAGGAUUCAAGUUCCUGGUCCUAACAGAGUGCCUGGUGCUGCCUGGUUGCCUGCUGUUGAUUGAGAGUACCUGUGGCUCUGCUGCAAACAGCACACGAGCAGCUCCUUGAGAUCUUUUCCAUCAGCAGCUUUUGCUACAUAGGCAGGAGAUGUCUCUUGACAUGUUGGAACCUGCUUCACGAGCUCUCCUGUUGACACAGGUGCAGCUUAGACAGAAUAAUGCCACGAGCACAGCCGGGAAGGCCAGAUAGGGCCAGCUGAUCUGCGUAGUAACAGAGUGAUCCUUAUGGCAGGAACUGAGAGAAAUUUAGAUCCUGAUUGUUUUUAUUUCCUGCAGAAGAUAUCUGUGAAGAAUGAGGCAGUAGCAGUAAGCAAUUGUAUGAAGGGAGAAAUAAUGAAAGCCUCUGCUCAUCAAGAAAAGAAUUUUUGUUUACUGAUACUAAGAGUUCUGCUUUGGCCCAGAGUGUCUCUGGCUUCACAGAGUUGAGAUGGUAUGAUCCCAGCUUACAUCUAAGUAAAAUAAGAGUCUCUAAGGGCAUACAGCCUUCUGCCCUUCUGAAUCUGAGACUGGCUAUAGGACACUACUCACAGUGCUCCCCUUACCGCCCUGUGUGCUGCCAGGCACGCGACAGCAACUGCAGCAGGCCCUGAGAAGUAUCAUUUUAUACCUCCCAGCACCACCAACUGAUCCAACCCCAUUUCUGCUUCUAGCAGGCAAAAAUAUUCCUCUUCAAAAAUAGCUUUUAUGCAAGCCUUUCAGCUUAGAAGUUAUUAAAAAGACUAAAUUAUUUUUUAUUUAUUUAUUUUUAAGAUUGGUGAUGCUGGUCUGGGUGUCAUCUCAAAUGUGAAGCUUGUACCUGUAUUCUUAGAAGUUUUGGGAAACUGGAAGUUUUAACAGUUUGUGUUUAGUUUGGUUUGUUUUUUUUCUGUUUGUCUAGCUCCCUGAGCCAGAUAAGUCUAUUAGGCUUUUGAAUCUCAGACAGCUGCUGGUGUUAUAAGUACUUCUAAUUGCAUAUUUUGGAGAGACUAUAAUGGCCCAGUGAUUUCCUAGAUUUGCCGGCCAGAAGGCAUCACCGUGAUCAUCGACUCUGACCUCCUCUAGAGAUGUUGGAAUCACUGAAUGAAAUUCCAUUAAAGGGAUUAAAUAGUAGGUGUGAAAUUAAAAAGAUUUUUUUAAAAAGUAUUUCUUCUUGGUGCUAGUGCAGGACUUAAGGUAGUGAGGUAGUACAGUGCAAAUAUACUUGUUUGCCAUGUUUUCUCCCUAUACUGCGUUGCAGAAAAGAAACCUCUCUUACCAUUCAGCAAGUGUGUGUGUUGAGUAUUUAUUGUGUAGUGUUUGUGGUUUGUUGUUUUUUGUUUGCUUGUUUCUUUUCUUUCUCUCUUCUGUGACUUUGUUCACUACGAGAGAUGGAGGAUAAUUUUAUAGUUUGUUUCUUCUGAGGAAGUAUGGAAUUGCUCUUCUGAGCUAACACAGAACAAAAAUGAUCCAGAAGUAGCAGAAUUGCAAUUCUCACCUCUAAGCAUCCAGUAAUCUCACCUCCUAUUCCACCUGCCUUUUAUUCUUCUCCCUCCUCCUCCCUUUUCUGCCCUUCUACCCCAUGCUCUGGAGUGUCCAGCUUGUAUCUGAACAAAUGUUAAGAGUGAUAUAUGGAGUAUAAGCACGUUUCUCUACUGACUUUGAGCCAUAGGUGGUAAAUGCAGUAGCCUGAAGGCACCUGUUGUAACAGGACAUCACGCAAGCACACGGGAACUAUUGUUGACUGUGCAAGUAUCAAAUCCUAUUGAUUAGCUGCUACAUGGACUAUAAUAAAACUAUCAUUAUUAAGUGUGAUGGGAAAGUGUAUCUGUGUCCAGGUAGCAAGUUAUAAUUUUAUUUCUUUCUCAAUUUAUUGCUGAGGCAGAGUAGAUAAUUUUUAAGUCACCUUUGCAUUUUGAGAGAGAAAAGCGUCUAACCUGCUUGCAUUAUUUCAGAUUAAAGGGGACAUCUUAUUGUCUUCCCAAUUUCUACUGCAAGAAAUCGUUACUAAUAUUUGUGAGCUGUUCC